CAAGACACAAAAUCCAAAUCACAAAUACAUACCUCAAACGAAAUUUGCAUUAAAUACGUUUGAUUCAUUGUUGUGAAUCAAUAAUUUCUGUGAAUUAAGAUUUCAGCAGGACCCUCAGAUUUCUGCGAGCCACGAAGAUUGGAUAACAAUAUGGAGUUGAUAAAGAAUCAAAUAAAUCGGUAAAACAUAUGUAUACUGGACUAAACGCUGGAAGCAAGUUAUUAUUGCAUCACCAUAGAAAAGAUAGAAAGCUAUUAGCGAGCUAACGAUUAUUUAGCUGAACAACUACGAAAAGGAAAACGGAAAGAAAGACAAUCUUACAACGCACCGGCGAUAUAGUAGUAGGUUCAUAUAAAACGACAUGGACAACUCAGUCUACCUUACUUCAAGGAAUUCAAAAACCAUAGUUUGACACCGACAAACAAAAAAUGAAGGCAGUCAUGAAUUGGUUGGAGGCGAAUGGAAGGUGCUUUUGAACUUACAUUAGUAGAUUACAGUGGUGUCAUCUAAACAAGAUAGAAUAUGUGGGAUUAGACAAACUUGUUAGCACUGAUGAAGGGAACAAAUGGUUCCCGAAAUAUCGAUAAUUAAUCGUUGGAAAUACCGCAUAAUUUCACUCAGAUGUGGGAUUAGUUUUGGAUAAAAUAUUUGGAGCUACGAAGCAUUCUGAAUUGCACGAGUGAACACAUGAGUGACAACUUUACCGAAAUAAAGUGCUCAAGCUCCGAUAUUGCUACUACGGGGAGGCAGAACGACACAAACAAAAAGAUUUUUCAAUUAUUGCAAAUUUUCAAGAAAGUCUCCAUAUGAACUCCUUCAUUCAAAUUUAAAGUCAAUAAGUGGUAGUUUUCCAUUAUUGUAUUGAAUCAGAUUUUGUUGAUCAUCUUCCUCGAAGGAAAUGAGAAAGAAGCUAAACUUAAACUGAUAAAGUAUGAAUGAUUCCAAAGUCUACACUUAAUGUAAUUAAAUUAUAAGCCAGCACUUACUUU